rnacentral:rRNA from 1 species
GAUGAACGCUGGCGGCGUGCCUAAUACAUGCAAGUCGAGCGAACGGACGAGAAGCUUGCUUCUCUGAUGUUAGCGGCGGACGGGUGAGUAACACGUGGAUAACCUACCUAUAAGACUGGGAUAACUUCGGGAAACCGGAGCUAAUACCGGAUAAUAUUUUGAACCGCAUGGUUCAAAAGUGAAAGACGGUCUUGCUGUCACUUAUAGAUGGAUCCGCGCUGCAUUAGCUAGUUGGUAAGGUAACGGCUUACCAAGGCAACGAUGCAUAGCCGACCUGAGAGGGUGAUCGGCCACACUGGAACUGAGCCACGGUCCAGACUCCUACGGGAGGCAGCAGUAGGGAAUCUUCCGCAAUGGGCGAAAGCAUGACGGAGCAACGCCGCGUGAGUGAUGAAGGUCUUCGGAUCGUAAAACUCUGUUAUUAGGGAAGAACAUAUGUGUAAGUAACUGUGCACAUCUUGACGGUACCUAAUCAGAAAGCCACGGCUAACUACGUG